rnacentral:lncRNA from 1 species
AAGGACUCGCUCUGGACAUUAAUGACGUGUGUAAAUUUGUUAGAUAAGGGAGAGGUAAUCCACAAUUACUCCCAAAAGGAUAGGUGGUCAAUAACUUCCCCUGAUCAGGAGGGAGCAAUUGUUGCCACUAAGGGUUAAUCAAACUUUGAGCCCAAAAGGCCUAUAUAAAUACACCUCCCUUAGAGGAGGAAAUGAGAGAUCACAACUCAUACUAAUCAUACCCCCAUACGCUUACACCCAAGCAUAUCAUUCAUCCGCAAAGCCUUUU